rnacentral:lncRNA from 1 species
GGAUAAUUUAAAAUAUUCCACAAGAGAUAUAAUUAUCGAUAUCAUACUCCAACAGUAUUUUUGUAAUGCCAAAACAGUUCUCAUGGCGCUUCUUUGAUGUGCAGAUAACAUGUCAUUCUCGCAAUCUGAUAUUUCGAAUUCGACGUGUCAUGUUCUACGUUAAUCUUCAGUGAUAAAUAACACCUUAACAGAUAUGUACUAUGAC